rnacentral:rRNA from 1 species
AGUGAACGCUGGCGGUAGGCCUAACACAUGCAAGUCGAACGGCAGCACAGUAAGAGCUUGCUCUUACGGGUGGCGAGUGGCGGACGGGUGAGGAAUACAUCGGAAUCUACUUUUUCGUGGGGGAUAACGUAGGUAAACUUACGCUAAUACCGCAUAUCCCCUACGGGUGAAAGCAGGGGAUAUUCGGACCUUGCGCGGUUGAAUGAGCCGAUGUCGGAGUAGCUAGUUGGCGGGGUAAAGGCCCACCAAGGCGACGAUCCGUAGCUGGUGUGAGAGGAUGGUCAGCCACACUGGAACUGAGACACGGUCCAGACGACUACGAGAGGCAGCAGUGGGGAAUAUUGGACAAUGGGGGCAAGCCUGAUCCAGCGAUACCGCGUGGGUGAAGAAGGCGUUCGGGUUGUAAAGCCCUUUUGUGGGGAGAGAAAAGCAGCCGGUUAAUACCCCGCGGUACUGACGGUACCCAAAGAAUAAGCACCGGCUAACUUCGUG